UUGUGACUUAUGCAGAUGUAGGCUUUUAAAUAUUCUAAAACUUGGUUUAUUUAUCCUUUUCUCUAAUAUUUCUUUUCUCUUUUUAAUAGGUCAUCACACAACGAACUAGAAAAACAUAGGCGGGCUAAACUCCGGCUAUAUUUGGAACAGCUAAAACAGCUCGUGCCUCUCGGGCCGGACAGCACCAGACACACCACUCUAAGUCUGUUGAAAAGAGCUAAGAUGCAUAUCAAGAAAUUGGAAGAACAGGACCGAAAAGCUCUAAACAUUAAAGAACAAUUACAGCGGGAACACCGCUACCUCAAGCGCAGAUUGGAGCAGCUAUCCGUGCAGGGCAUGGAGCGUAUCCGCACUGACAGCAUGGGAUCAACAAUAUCCACUGACUCUGAACAAGAAGUAGACAUUGAAGGAAUGGAGUUUACUCCAGGUGAAAUGGACAGUAUUGGAAGUGCCAGUGAUGCUGAAGACCACUACAGUUUGCAAAGCGGUUCGAGUGACGGAGGUUACACACAUUCCCGCAGACUGAAUGCCAGGCUCUCAUAGUGCCUGAGUUACCUGUUCAACUCAGGACCAUCUGACUGAAGCACUUAUAUAUGAAUAUUCCAGAGGUGUCAACUGCCACUCUUCCGGGAAACCCCAACCACAGUACUCUGACAUGGAGGUUUCUUACCCACGGUUCCCUGCACUGUAACCACAAUAUUAGAUAUUGUAAAUCAUGGGUUUGCUGCAGAGAACUGUGGUUAGGUACAGUUGUGACUUAAAGCUAGCUUGAUGUAGCCAUACUGCAAAUUAAAGGAAAUAAAUUAUGUCAUUCCAUUCAAGAAGAAUUAAAUUCAAACUGUUGGAAGCAUGGCGUAAGGGAGUUUGACAGUUAUUUUGAUUUUGCAGAAACCAUUUUUCGAACAUGGAAGAAUAAAUGGAAUCUACAAUGUGUUAGUGAUUCAGAGAUACAAAAAACCCUACUUUUUGUGGUAUUUUUUCAGGAAAAAAAAAACAAAACCCCAAAAUAUUUUGAAUGCUGCAUAGUGGGCUUCAUAGAGCAAAUUCUUUCAGCAGUUGUUGUUUGGGUAAAGCAGGCAGAUAAAUCUUCAAAUCUCAGAUAUCUUUAGAAAAGGUUGUAUUUACAAGUCACUACUGUACUUCAAAAUGGGGGAAAAGCCAGCUCUAAUAAUGACUUCAUGUGGGAUGAUCUCAACUUUCUUUUGCUUUUUGUAUUCAAUAUCCAACCAGCAGCAAAUCAUUCUAUCCAUGUUAAUGGGAGCAGUAGAAAGCAACAUGGCAGUUUUAACCUGUUAUCGUGGAAUGGAUGACAUCUGAAGCAUUUCAGUGGUUUUAUGGGUUGUUGUUUUCAUUUCUUUCUCUGAAGAAUACAGAACUCAAGUGAUCCAGUUUGUGAUAGUUAAUCUUUCCUUGCAAGGAAAUGAAAUCUGUUUGCUUGUAUUUUUUUUCUUUUCUUCUAUUUACACAUGUCAAUACAUUUUUAUGGAAGGCAUGGCUUAAGAUUACAGUAUUCAGCUAGAAGAUAAUUAUUUUUUUUCUUUUGCACACUAUAAUUGCAUUUUCUAUUCUUAAAAAAAAGUGCAAAAAAAUUAAAAUGUAUGCUGUAAAACAGCAAAGUUUAUUUAGUACUCAUCAAGCUGUUCAGAACAUAUUUACCCAACUUGUAGCAAUACUAUGAAGAUGUAUUUUAAUACAACUUCUGCUUAGUGAAGUCAUUAGAGCUUGGCUUGCCGGGUAAGAAAAAAAAUGGACCAGUCUUUGCAUUACCUGUUUAAAGAAGGUCUUUUAAAAAAAAAUAAAGGAAGGAAAAAAAAAAGGAAAAAAAUUAAAAAUAAAAAAAAAAAAGAAAAAAGCUAUAAACACUUUUAGGGAAGUGAUUUUAGCAAGUGUAGUCUAUAUUUCCUGUAAGAGAUUUUGUAUUAUAUUUUCCUAAAUGUUCUCAUUUACUUGUAUAGGGAGGGGAAUGGUACAGACCCAGACCAGAGUCUCAGGGACUCUUCACCUUUGUCAUAUUGUGCCUUGGUGACCAUUUAUGUAUGCCUCUCCUUUUCAUUGUUUAAAGGACAACUAAGCUUUGUUUCAAGACCCUCUGUUCAAAUGGUCAGUAGUCCACCUUCUUGCGGACGAAGCAGAGGUGUGUAUUUAUAUCUUCACCCUCUCACAACUGAUUCAGUGUGGCUUUAAGUAAAAUCAUAACAUUAGGUUUUGGUGCGAGGGUUAAUUGUCUUUGUAUGAGCCCUCCCUUGGAUUCUUCAGCACCCAAAUCUAUAUUUUGUUAGCUUAUAAAGUCAGGGUCUCUGUGAGACCAGCGCUCAGUGGCUGAGGAAACACAAACGUACUGUGUAAGGCUAUGGGAUGUCCAAGUGUGGUGCCAUUUUUAGCAUUUGGAUACAAGACCUCAUGACAGACUGACCAUAAUGAUCAAAAACAAAGGUUCAGUUGUUCUUUCAACAUCUGACAUACGUGUCCUCCCUUUGGCUCUUACAACACGGGGUAGAAAUAUGAAAUCAUUUUGUGGCAGCUUACAGAUCCUUGUUUGCACUCUCGCUUACUGCUUGGAACUUGCCAACAAGGAAAACAUACAUUUAAUUUACAUAACCUAAUGGAUGGCCACCCCUACUUUGGCUCUGGGGAGGGGCCUAAGGUUAUCAACUCUGGCAGCUGAAUUAAAAAACAAUUAACAAUUUUCUGUGAUGCAGGUUUUGGUAUUACGUUCUAUACACCUUGCAUAUUACUAAAAUCCUCAUUGUUGGGGAAAGCACACAGCAAUAUACUCAUUGUGUGUAGCUGACAAGCAGCAGAAAUUACUAGCUCCUUUGGUGCAUAUGUAACUAAUUUCCAAAUCAUGGAAAAAAAAAAAAGAGUUUACUUUAACACACGACUGUUAACAGGAAAAAAAAAGGCUAGUAUAUUGUUGCUGUUCAUUUAUAUAAUGAACACAUUCAUGGAUUGUAAAGUGUUUCCUUUCAUGACAAGCAGCUCUUGCACAGAACCUCCGAAUGAAAAAAGAUUUGAAACUUACAGAAGGAAAAACGAGACUUUAAAUUGAACAUUAUUGUACCUUAGGUCAACCUGAAAUUUUCCUUUUAAAGAUGAAUGUGCUAACUUAAUGAGUUCUUCCACGCUGGGUAUCCAUGGCUUUGUAGAUCUUAUAUUUUCAAUAAAAAUUACUCGAAUAAUCUUGAGUGGAAAUAAAAAGGGUUUAUUUGUUUUUACUUUUUCAGUUAUUACAGCUGGGAGCUAUUAUGCUGGUAAAGAAAAAUGACACCAUACUGCCUGUGUCAUUCUCCCUCAAGCACAGCCCAGUUUAAGGUGGAAUUUUCAGGCACGGCUUCCCCAGACAGCAGCAGCCCAGUUAGAGGCAAUGGCACAACAGUUCCAAGUGUCGGGCUUGGUGGCUGGUCUGACCCCCCCCCAGCAGAGCUGCAGUCCCACAGGUUUAGUUGAGACUCUGACAUUCCUUCAGGGACACAAUUCUCCUGCUGCUGAGCAGCCAGUGCAGCGCUACCUGUGGCCGUAACCCCGUGGGAUGCAAAGUGUGUUAUUGUUAUUCAUUUUUUUAAGCUGGACAUUUGUGCGUGCAUCUGUGUGUGCACACAACUGUACCUGUAACCAUGACAUGACUGCAAAAAGCAAGCUGUUGGCUGCAAGAUUAAAUCCUGCCACCACCUCAGCAGCUCUGCCAUGUUGUGUCCUGAUGGUGCUUUUAGCAGGCGAGGAGGUACCAACUGCUCAGCUCGUCUUAAUUCCCCUGCAAUUAGCACAUCGGAAAAGAAGGAGUAGAGGCAAGAUUACAGGGCUGCUAGGUCUUUUCCUCUGUGGAAAGGGCUCUGGAGAGAUGAAGUCAUCGAGAAGUUCUUUUUAUGGAGACAUGGAGGUUUGGCCUGUUUCCUGAGGGGAGAAGAAAGGAAGGGCUUUCCCUUGCAGCAGGCAGGUGUCAGGAGGAUACACACCUCCUCACUGCUCCUGGAUUAGCGCUUCCUCCAGCUCCAGCAGUGCACUCUGUCAUCACUGCAGAGAGGCAUAAAAAACAGCCUAAAAUUGUUAGUUUUUUCUGCACAAUUCUCCACUGUAAUUCAGGGGGUGAAUCCUCCUUCACAUCCAAUCUCUCUGCCCAACUUGUACCCUGCCAGGCCCAUUGCAGCUGAUUUAUUUAUCUUCUGAAAAGAGCAGGUUUGGCAGUAGAAACUCUUCAACACAUUGUUAACCAGAGACUGGAUCCUAUAUUGUCUUGUGCAAAGGACAAACUCAGUUCAAACAGUUUUACUGGAUUAAAUCAGAAAUAAUAAGCCCCCCAAAAAUCCAUGAGAAGGAUAGUUUUUCAUCUGGUGUUUGUAGAUUAGUUUCUAUCCUAAUUUAUUAGUGUAAGCUUUGGGAUGAAAAAAAAAAGACUUAAAAUCUAACACAACUUGCAUCCAACUUAUAGAAUUAAGACUGUGUGUUACUUUUUUUGACAUGGAUGAGUAUGGAUUCAGCUAUACCACACACAGCCCACCAAAAUUUAGUAUUAAAAGUAAAAAAAA